rnacentral:rRNA from 1 species
AUUGAACGCUGGCGGCAGGCCUAACACAUGCAAGUCGAACGAGUGGCGGACGGGUGAGUAAUGUCUGGGAAACUGCCUGAUGGAGGGGGAUAACUACUGGAAACGGUAGCUAAUACCGCAUACCAUCAGAUGUGCCCAGAUGGGAUUAGCUAGUGGGUGGGGUAACGGCGCACCUAGGCGACGAUCUCUAGCUGGUCUGAGAGGAUGACCAGCCAGCAUGGAACUGAGACACGGUCCAGACGCCUACGGGAGGCAGCAGUGGGGAAUAUUGCACAAUGGGCGCAAGCCUGGUGCAGCCAUGCCGCGUGUAGUAAGAAGGCCUGCGGGUUGUAAAGCACUUGUAGCGGGGAGGCGUUACCCGCAGAAGAAGCACCGGCUAACUCCGUGCCAGCAGCCGCGGUAAUUC